GGAAGUCUAGAAACUACUAUUGGAUCGAAAAAUAAUGGGCGUAUAAGAUUCAUCCACGUCACCAUGAAUAAAAAUUUAAGUAAAAUUUUUACUCAUGAGUAAACUUACGAGUAAAAUUUUUACUCAUGAUGACGUUGAUGAAUCCCAGACGUUCAUUUUUUGAUCCAACGAUAGUUUCUAGGUUCCC
rnacentral:pre_miRNA from 1 species